rnacentral:rRNA from 1 species
UACGUAGGGGGCGAGCGUUGUUCGGAAUUACUGGGCGUAAAGGGCUCGUAGGUGGCCAACUAAGUCAGACGUGAAAUCCCUCGGCUUAACCGGGGAACUGCGUCUGAUACUGGAUGGCUUGAGUUCGGGAGAGGGAUGCGGAAUUCCAGGUGUAGCGGUGAAAUGCGUAGAUAUGUGGAGGAACACCGAUGGCGAAGGCAGCCCCCUGGGUUAACACUGACGCUCAUGCACGAAAGCGUGGGGAGCAAACAGG